rnacentral:lncRNA from 1 species
AUGAUGAAUUAUAUAAAUGGAAACCGUGUUCCCUCGCCCGGACGUGGGUCACCGGGGCCCCCCUCUGGAGCCAGGCCUGGAGGUGGGGCACGUUGGCGAGCGCCUGGUGGCCGGGCUUUCAUCCAUGGAGCCCGGCCGGACACAGCCCGAAGAGGAAAUGUGGGUCCCCCUUCCCAUGGGCUCACCACUCGUGGGAGGGGCCAAAGGGGUCGGGUGCAGUGUGUGACGGGUGGUAGUCGAGGGCGGGGACCUUGGCGGUCUGAUCCUCUGCUACAGAAGCUAGCUCUUGGCACAUGGAAUGUCACCUCUCUGGUAGGGAAGGAGCCUGAGUUGGUGUGUGAGGUUGAAAGGUUCCGAUUAGAUAUAGUCGGACUCACCUCAACGCAUGGCUCUGGAACCAGUUUCCUUGAGACCUGGAGAGGUGUGGUUGGGAGGAAUGGCCCCCCUUAUCUGAAUUCGAGUGGUAUUUUGUUAUUGGACUUCUGUGUCAGUCAUGGAUUGUCCAAAAUGAACACCAUGUUCAGACAUAAAGGUGUCCAUAUGUGCUCUUGGCACCAGGACACCUUAGGCCGCAGCUCAAUGAUCGACUUUUUUGUUGUUUCAUCUGACCUGUGGCCGCAUGUCUUGGACACUCGGGUGAAGAGAGGGGCGGAGCUGUCAACUGACCACUACCUGGUGGUGAGUUGGCUCAGAUGGUGGGGGAGGAUGCCGGUCAGACCAGGCAGGCCCAAACGUAUCGCGAGGAUCUGCUGGGAACGUCUGGCAGAGUCUCCUGUCAGAAGGAGCUUCAAUUCCCACCUCAGACAGAACUUCCAAAAUGUUCCGGGGGAGGCGGGGGACAUUGAGUCUGAAUGGACCCUGUUCCGUGCCUCCAUUGUUGAGGCGGCCGACCGCAGCUGUGGUCGCAGGAUUGUUGGUGCUGGUCGUGGUGGCAACCCCCGAACCCACUGGUGGACACCGGCGGUUAGGGAUGCUGUUGAGCUGAAGAAAGAGUCCUAUCAGGUCUUGUUGGCCUGUGGGACUCCAGAGGCAGCUGACGGGUACCGGCAGUCCUAG